GCUCGACUCCUUGACUU
rnacentral:misc_RNA from 1 species